rnacentral:rRNA from 1 species
UACGUAGGGUGCGAGCGUUAAUCGGAUUUACUGGGCGUAAAGAGCGCGCAGGCGGUCGUGCAAGUCGCGUGUGAAAGCCCCCGGCUCAACUGGGGAGGGUCACGCGAUACUGCUCGACUUGAAGGCAGGAGAGGGAAGUGGAAUUCCCGGUGUAGUGGUGAAAUGCGUAGAUAUCGGGAGGAACACCAGUGGCGAAGGCGACUUCCUGGCCUGUUCUUGACGCUGAGGCGCGAAAGCUAGGGUAGCAAACGGG